rnacentral:rRNA from 1 species
UAAGACUUUAAUUGAGUGCUAAGAGAAUGGAAUUUCAAAAAAAUUCUUUCUUAGGAUUAAAAAUUGAAAUUAUUUUUUUUUGUGAAGAAACAACAAUGAUAAUUAAGGACAAGAAGACCCUAAGAAUUUUAAAAGAGAAAGAAUACUUUAUCUCUCUUUUCUUUUUAAUUGGGGCGAUUAAUAAAUAUUAAAAACUUUAUUUAAAAUGAAAUAUGAACCGUUACUAAUGGUCAAAUGAAAAAAUACUCUAGGGAUAACAGCGUAAUAAUUUUUGAUAGUUCCUAUAGACAAAAUAGUUUGCGACCUCGAUGUUGGAUUAGGAUUCUUUUUUAAUGAAGAAG